GAGGGAUAUUGCACAAUGGGCGAAAGCCUGAUGCAGCGACGCCGCGUGAGGGAAGACGGUCCUCUGGAUUGUAAACCUCUGUCUUCAGGGACGAAAAUGACGGUACCUGAGGAGGAAGCUCCGGCUAACUACGUGCCAGCAGCCGCGGUAAUACGUAGGGAGCAAGCGUUGUCCGGAAUUACUGGGUGUAAAGGGAGCGUAGGCGGGAAUGUCAGUCUGUUGUGAAAUCUACCGGCUCAACCGGUAGCUGCGGCAGAAACUACAUUUCUUGAGUGAAGUAGAGGCAGGCGGAAUUCCUAGUGUAGCGGUGAAAUGCGUAGAUAUUAGGAGGAACACCAGUGGCGAAGGCGGCCUGCUGGGCUUUUACUGACGCUGAGGCUCGAAAGUGUGGGGAGCAAAC
rnacentral:rRNA from 1 species